rnacentral:miRNA from 1 species
CAGAAUGCCCAGCGAAACUGGAAUAUUAUGUGCACAAUGAAAAAUGUUGCAGUGUAAGUAUGCCUCAUGCAGUAUUUGGGACAGACUUAUGCUAAAAAGUUAUCCAUUGGGUUUCCUGAAGUUCAAAUAUAACUGGAUGUCCUGUA